GCUUUUUUUCAAAUGCUUCCUGUCUGCUGAUUUCAUCCCCUCCCCUCCGGAUAUAAAUAAAUAUUUCACAAGGAAAUAAAUAAAUAUCGCAUUAGGGAAAUCACCCUGCCACCAGUGGAAGCUCAAUGUGUUUGUUACAUUGCAACGCACUGAUGGUUUGCGCCCGUCGUUCGGAUAGAAGCAUAUAUCCACAGCGCGCCUCUCCAGCGUCAUCACCACAGACAGAGGCCAGUGCUGACAAAGCAGCGCCUCGCUGCCCUGCCCCGCCGCUGCAUGGACAGCCAGCACAAUGGCAGAGGAUUUGGGGGGUGCCUCUGUUUUAGCAACAACAGGUCGCAUGGAUAAUCCCGCCACAGCCGAGCCAGCCGUGUUUACCCCUCGUAGUUACGACGAUUAGAGCGCCGCUGUCGGCUCGCAGGGCUUGAUGAGGCAGGAGAGAGAGCCGAGCGGGGCUUCUCGUCCUUACAAUACGGAUUGAGAGGGAAACGCAAAGCAACGUGGAACAGGUGGACUGUGGCUUGGGGUCCUUCAAGAUGGAUAUAGAUCCCUGCUUCCGCUAUUAUUUCCAGCACCCAUGGUCCCGUCUGUUCGUGGCCUACCUUGUCACCUUCUGCAACUUCCUCAUCUUCGCCGAGGACCCUGUCUCCCACAGCCAGACGGAGGCUCACAUGAUUGUGGUGGGAAACUGCUUCUCCUUCAUAGUGAACAAGUACCCUGGCGGAGGAUGGAGCGUCCUCAAAGUCAUGUCGUGGCUGAUGGCCAUUGUCACUGGAAUGUUUGCCGGGAAGUUCAUAUUCCACCGCAGGCUCUUUGGUCGUUAUCUGCGUCUGAAAAUGUUCCGUGAGGAUCACGGCUCCUGGAUGACCAUGUUCUUCAGCACCAUCCUCUUCCUCUUCAUCUUCUCACACAUCUACAACCUGAUCCUCCUGAUGGCAGGAAGCAUGGGGCCUCACAUGGUGACAGAGUACAUGGGUAUCAGGAACGAGAGCUUCAUGAAGAUUGCAGCAGUGGGGACGUGGAUGGGGGACUUUGUGACUGCGUGGAUGGUCACUGACAUGAUGCUCCAGGACCAGCACUACCCAGACUGGGGCAAAGCUGCCAGAAGGUUCUGGAAACAAGGCAACCACAGGAUAAUCCUCUUCUGGACGGUCCUGAUCACUCUGACGUCGGUGGUGUUGCUGGUCAUCAGUACUGACUGGAUCAGCUGGGACAACCUGAACCGUGGCUUUCUGCCUAGCGACGAGGUCUCCAGGGCCUUCCUGGCUUCCUUCAUCCUGGUCUUUGACCUGCUCAUUGUCAUGCAGGACUGGGAGUUCCCUCAGUUCAUGGGCGACCUUGAUAUGAACCUGCCUGGCAUGUCCACCACACAGCUCAAGUUCAAACUUCCUGUCUGCAAGAGCAUCUUCAAAGAGGAGUACCACAUCCAUAUCACAGAGGCAGAUACAGAGGUAGAGGCUCUCCCCUCUCGUCUUGACUGACAGCAGUACCUCAGGGCCUGGACAGUCCUCUAUAGGAUUCUAUCACCCAGAGCACCAGCUGCAGACAGAAGAUCUCACAUACUGUUCAAUAUAAUUACAAUAUUUCAGUUUUCACAGGGAAAUGAAGGAUAAUCCUGAUCUGCUGAACUUGGAGUACAUAUUAUUUAUUACACGUCACUUCCUAAUCCUUUUUCAAAUAUGAUUCUGCUGUCGUCUCCUGUAUACAUGUUUGGGUGUUAAGUGGAUUUAAAAUUUGUUGUUGACUUGAAAGAUUACUGAUCCAGGCGAGGUGUCGGGAGAAUAGAGUGGUGUGUUAAAGUAGUCUGUACGCACAAAGCAACAACAGUAACAUCCAGUGGAGGCUGGUGGGAGGGGCUAUAGGAGGACGGGCUCAUUACUUGGUAACAGGAAAAGCAUGGCGAAGUGAAGUUUAUAGAUAGAUUUCAUGUUCAUUAUCUGACUGAACACUAGACUUUAAAAAAAUUGUGAAAUUAACCAACUUUUUAAAAUUCUGGUUCUGCUUGUCUGAGUGCUAUGACUGUGUCUGUGCUGAGAAAUGAUGCUAGGCUUAUAGCACUGACCGAUCAGCUGCUACUGCAGAACACAGUGCAUUCGCGGUAAGGAGAAAAAAGAAAAAGUCACACACACUGACACAGAUUUAGCCUGCUGCUGCCAGUUCAUAUUUUGGCUGUAUAUCAUAUGAAAUAGUAGGCUAAUUAAGACUCGGGGGAACUCAUAUGACAGGCACUAACUUGCAAUAGCCCAAAAAUGAUUUUGAUUGGCUUUUAUAACACAUAAGCCAAUAGCUAUCUAUUAUUAGACAUUAAAUACAGUGCUACUGCUUUUUAUUAAAUAUAAGUCAUCAUGUAUUACAAUGAAACACUGUAUUAAUGCAUAAUAAUUGCUAAAUAAUCCUCUGUUAAAGGUUAAUUCGGGGGCUGUCUGUGUAUUUGAAUUGUUUUAUCAAUGUUUAUUCACUUCUAAUUUCUAAAUCUCAGUCUCUUUAGCCAGUCUUAGUUUAUGAACUGUAGUAAUGGGUGACUCUGUUGUCGUAUUACAUUACAUAGCCACCGCCACUGGAGGCUGAAAAGUCCCGCCUAUUUCAUUCGCUGGAACAAGUUGGCACGGCACUGGAUGGCCGCCGUUUUGCAAGCUCCGGCACAACUUUGCUAUUUUGUGAUUAUGUUGUUGUUUAUUUUUUACUCUAUUUUCACAAAAUGCAUCCGCUAUUAUGUCUUACAAACAACUCUUGAACAUCAGAUCAGCAGUUACUUACCCCAAUAACGUCUUUUACUUCGACUCAUCUGCUCUGCUCUCUCUCUCUGUAAUACCAACACAAUUUUCGGGCUACCCAAGAGGAAACGGCGGCGUUACAGAGGCAAGAGAGGGGUCAUCCUGGUGAGAUUAAGGCAAAGUGAAAAUCGGCCACCUCUUCCCUCCAUUCUACUGGCUGAUGUACAGUCUCUUGAUAAUAAAAUGGAGGAUCUCCGACGAACGGAGCUCUCGGAACAGCAAUAUUCUUUGCUUUUCAGAAACAUGGCUCUCAGACAAGAUACCUCCCAUGGCUAUCUAACUCAAUGGAUUCUCCGUUCACCGGGCAGACAGGCUACAAGUGAAGACAGACACGUCGGGGACACAACUGCACGCAUCCUAAUCCAAUUCUGAGACUGGCCCAUUAUCAUGCACCUGUAUUGAAACAGGGGUGGCAUCUCAUCUAUGCACUUAAAUAGCGAAUGGAGGACGCUUUUCCCGUGGUUUAUUUUCAUGCCAGCCAGGUAGGCUAUAUUCAUGUUGCAAAUAUAAGCCAUGUGCUUAAUAUUAGGAAAGUUUAGAAAUAAAUGUAGUAGGCCUAGCCUAUAGAAAGCUGAUGGGAGCCUCCUCUUUUUAUUAGCGGCCAUCACUCUGUUUUCUCACUCAAUAGCAUAGCCUCUCAUUAAGUGUUUGUUUAGAUUUUUGAAUACAUUUUCAGUGAUGUCAGAGUGAUUAGAGGGACAAUGGAGUGCUGAGUACCAGGCAGUUAGCAUGUUUGACAGGCUACUAAUGACCAUCAGCAGCAUCAGAGCUUGGAGAAGCCUAAUUAUAGUGAGUAUUUGACUGCCUUCAUGACUCGUGACCGCCGGUGGGGCGGUAAUACGGUCACUGCAACAGCCCUAAUCGUGACUUCUCUAUACAUUCCACCUCAGGACAAUAAAAAUAAGAAACUGCCGCAUAACAAACUGUACAAUGCUAUUGUACAGUACGUUAUGCGCCAUUGUACAGUUUGUUAUGCACCAGAUUAUUAUUUGUAUUGUCCUGAAGUGGAAUGUAUAGAGCAGUUACAAUUCAUUGUUGUCUAUUGUUCCUUCCAAUACGUUUUGUGCCAGCUUAUUAUUUCUAUUGUCAUGAGGUGGAAUGUAUAGAGCAGUUACAUUUACAUUUUAGUCAUUUAGCAGACACUCUUAUCCAGAGCGACUUACAGUAGAGUGCAUACAUUUUUAUUACAUUUUACAUACUGAGACAAGGAUAUCCCUACCGGCCAAACCCUCCCUAACCCGGACGACGCUAUGCCAAUUGUGCGUCGCCCCACGGACCUCCCGGCUGCGACAGAGCCUGGGCGCGAACCCAGCCCAGCCUGGGCGCGAACCCAGAGACUCUGGUGGCGCAGCUAGCACUGCGAUGCAGUGCCCUAGAUCACUGCGCCACCCGGGAGUUACAAUUCGUUGUUGUCUAUUGUUCCUUCCAAUACGUUAUCGUCAUUUCCAGUCACAACUUGUAGACUUGUUUACGUGCUUCUGUGCGGUGUGUUGCUAACGUUUCUUUGCUACCUGCCAACUUUACGGUUUUUACUUUUAAAUUACCGUUUUAUAUUUUAAAUUUUUCCCUCACUCGACUUUUUUCCUUUAACUUUUUCACCCCGGACGCUUUACCUGGACAUGGUUCUACACGACCUCCACCAGCCGAAGCUAAGUAGUAACACUAACAUUAUGCCUUCUAAUUGCAGUGCCUGUACUCAUAAUAUACAGGAGAACAUUCGCCUUAUGGCGAGGAUAGCCGUGCUACAAGCCCAGCUUCAGACGCAAUCGUUAGUCAAGGGUAAUUUAAGUUUAGGAAAGGAUGCUGUAGGUAUGCUCAACUGGUGUCGCUCAUUCAGCUGACAGACAUUUUCAACCGGUUCUCCCCAUUAAGCAACGAGUCGGAGUCAGAGUCCGAGUCUUCUCUGGUCUCUCCUCCACCCGUUACAGGGUCAUAGACGCCGAAGACUCCCACCAUUAGCUCUGACAAAUUGAACACCCUAGUCAUUGGUGACUCCAUUACCCGUAGUAUUAGACUUAAAAAGAAUCAUCUAGCGAUCAUACACUGUUUACCAGGGGGCAGUGCUACCGACGUGAAGGCUAAUCUGAAGAUGGUGCUGGCUAAGGCUAAAACUGGGAUAUUGAUAUCCACGUCGGCACCAACAAUGUUAGGAUGAAACAGUCAGAGGUCACUAAGCGCAACAUAGCUUCAGUGUGUAAAUCAGCUAGAAAGAUGUGUCUGAAUCGAGUAAUUGUCUCUGGCCCCCUUCCAGUUAGGGGGAGUGAUGAGCUCUACAGCAGAGUCUCACAACUCAAUCGCUGGUUGAAAACUGUUUUCUUCCCUUCCCAAAAGAUAGAAUUUGUAGAUAAUUGGCCCUCUUUCUGGGACUCACCCACAAACAGGACCAAGCCUGGUCUGCUGAGGAGUGACGGACUCCAUCCUAGCUGGAGGGGUGCUCUCAUCUUAUUUAUGAACAUAGACAGGGCUCUAACUCCUCUAGCUCCACAAUGAGAUAGGGUGCAGGCCAAGCAGCAGGCUGUUAGCCACCCUGCCAGUUUAGUGGAGUCUGCCACUAGCAUAAUCAGUGUAGUCAGCUCAGCUAUCCCCAUUGAGACCGAGAAACUAAACAUGGCAGUGUUCGCAUUAGCAAUCUCACUGGAAUAAAGACCUCCACCUUUCCUGUCAUUAUUGAAAGAGAUUGUGAUAUUUCACAUCUCAAAAUAGGGCUACAUAAUGUUAGAUCCCUCACUUCCAAGGCAGUUAUAGUCAAUGAACUAAUCACUGAUAAUAAUCAUGAUGUGAUUGGCUUGACUGAAACAUGGCUUAAGCCUGAUGAAUUUACUGUGUUAAAUGAUCCCUCUCCUCAUGGUUACACUAGUGACCAUAUCCCCGCGCAUCCCACAACGGUGGAGGUGUUCCUAACAUUUACGAUAGCAUAUUUCAAUUUACAAAAAAAAAUGUCUGCGUUUUCGUAUUUUGCGCUUCUAGUCAUGAAAUCUAUGCAGCCUACUCAAUCACUUUUUAUAGCUACUCUUUACAGGCCUUCUGAGCCGUAUACAGCAUUCCUCACUGAGUUCCCUGAAUUCCUAUCGGAUUUUGUCAUGGCAGAUAAUAUUCACAUUUUUGGUGACUUUAAUAUUCACAUGGAAAAGUCCACAGACCCACUCCAAAAGACUUUCGGAGCCAUCAUCGUCUGAGUGGGUUUUGUCCAACAUGUCUCCGGACCUACUCACUGCCACAGUCAUACUCUGGACCUAGUUUUGUCCCGUGGAAUAAAUAUUGUGGAUCUUAAUGUUUUUCCUCAUAAUCCUGGACUAAUCGACUACCAUUUUAUUACAUUUGCAAUCGCACAAAUAAUCUGCUCAGACCCCAACCAAGGAUCAUCAAAAGCCGUGCUAUAAAGUUUUGGACAACCCAAAGAUUCCUAGAUGCCCUUCCAGACUCCCUCCAACUGCCCAAGGAUGUCAGAGUACAAAAGUUGGUUAAACACCUAACUGAGGAACUAAAUGUAACCUAUGGUAAUACCCUAGAUGCAGUCGCACCCCUAAAAACAAAAAACAUUUGUCAUAAGAAACUAGCUCCCUGGUAUACAGAAAAUACCCGAGCCCUGAAGCAAGCUUCCAGAAAAUUGGAACGGAAAUGGCGCUACACGAAACUGGAAGUCUUCCGACUAGCUUGGAAAGACAGUACCUUGCAGCAUCGAAGAGCCCUCACUGCUGCUCGAUCAUUCUAUUUUUCCAAUUUAAUUGAGGAGAAUAAGAACAAUCCAAGAUUUAUUUUUCAUACUGUCGCAAAACUAACUAAAAAGCAGCAUUCCCCAAGAGAGGAUGGCUUUCACUUCAGCAGUGAUAAAUUUAUGAACUUCUUUGACGAAAAAUAUCAUGCUCAUUAGAAAGCAAGUUACUUCUAGAUUAGACUACUGCAAUGCUCUCCUCUUCAAAUCUGCGUAUUUCUCCAAAGCUCAGUUGCCCUGAAUCUGCACAACACUGCCAGGACCUAGGAUCUCGUGAAGGUGGUAAAUUACCUUUUAAUGGCAUCAGACCAAGGCUCUGCAUCUGUCCUCGUGCUUCUAGACCUUAGUGCUGCUUUUGAUACCAUCGAUCACCACAUUCUUUUGGAGAGAUUGGAAACCCAAAUUGGUCUACACGGACAAGUUCUGGCCUGGUUUAGAUCUUAUCUGUCGGAAAGAUAUCAGUUUGCCUCUGUGGAUUGUUUGUCUUCUGACAUAUCAUUUGAACGUUUUCGGUGUUCCUCAAGGUUCCAUUUUAGGACUACUAUUGUUUUCACUAUAUAUUUUACCUCUUGGUUAUGUCAUUCGGAAACAUAAUGUUAACUUUCACUGCUAUGCGGACGAUACACAGCUGUACAUUUCGAUGAAACAUGAUGAAGCCACAAAAUUAACCUCCCUGGAAGCCUGUGUUUCAGACAUAAGGAAGUGGAUGGCUGGAAAUGUUUUACUUUUAAACUCGGACAAAACAGAGAUGCUAGUUCUAGGGCCCAAGAAACAAAGAGCUCUUCUGUUGGAUCUGACAAUAAAUCUUGAUGGUUGUACAGUCAUCUUAAAUAAAACUGUGAAGGACCUCGGCGUUACUCUGGACCCUGAUCUCUCUUUUGAUGAACAUAUCAAGAAUAUUUAAAGGACAGCUGUUUUCCUUCUUCGUAACAUUGCAAAAAUUAGAAACCUUCUGUCAAAAAAUGAUGCAGAAAAAUGUAUCCAUGCUUUUGUCACUUCUAGAUUAGACUACUGCAAUGCUCUUUCAGUUAGUGCUAAACACGGCUGCUAGAAUCUUGAAUAGAACCCCAAAAUUGUAUCAUAUUACUCCAAUGCUAGCCUCUCUACACUGGCUUCCUGUUAAGGCUAGGGCUGAUUUCAAGGUUUUACUGCUAACCUACAAAGCAUUACAUGGGCUUGCUCCUACCUAUCUUUCCUAUUUGGUCCUGCCGUACAUACCUACAGGUAUGCUAUGGACAAGACACAGGCCUCCUUACUGUCCCUAGAAUUUCUUAGUAAACAGCUGGAGGCAGGGCUUUCUCCUAUAGAGUUCCUGUUUAUGGAAUGGUCUGCCUAUCUAUGUGAGAGAUACAGACUCGAUCUCGAUCUUUAAGUCUUUUUUGAAGACUCAUCUCUUCAGUAGGUCCUAUGAUUGAGAGUAGUCUGGCCCAGGGGUGUGAAGGUGAACGGAACGGCACUGGAGCAACGAACCACCCUUGCUGUCUCUGCCUGGCCGGUUCCCCUCUUUCUCUCUGGGAUUCUCUGCCUCUAACCCUAUUACUGGUGCUCUUCCAUGCCGUCCCUAGGAGAGGUGCGUCAUUUGAGUGGGUUGAGUCACUGACGUGAUUUUCCUGUCAGGGUUGACGCCCACCUCGGGUUUGUGCCGUGGGGGAGAUCUUCGUGGGCUAUACUCGGCCUUGUCUCAGGGUAGUAGGUUGGUGGUUGAAGAUAUCCCUCUAGUGGGGUUGGGGCUGUGCUUUGGCAAAGUGGGUGGGGUUAUAUCCUGCCUGGUUGGCCCUGUCCGGGGGUAUCGUCAAACAGGGCCACAGUGUCUCUCGACCCCUCCUGUCUCAGCCUCCAGUAUUUAUGCUGCAAUAGUUUAUGUGUCGGAGGGCUAUGGUCAGUCUGUUAUAUCUGGAGUAUUUCUCCUGUCUUAUCUGGUGUCCUGUGUGAAUUUAAGUAUGCUCCCUCUAAUUCUCUCUUUAUCUCUUUCUCCUUCUCUCUCUCUUUCUCUCUCUCUCUUUCUCUCUGUCUUCUCUCGGAGGACCUGAGCCCUAGGUCCAUGCCUCAGGCCUACCUGGCUUGAUGACUCCUUGCUGUCCCCAGUCCACCUGGUCAUGCUGCUGCUCCAGUUUCAACUGUUCUGCCUGUGACUGUGGAACCCUGACCUGUUCACUGGAUUUGCUACCUUGUUCCGGACCUGCUGUUUUGGACUCUUUUGAAAAUGAACUCAAUGCAUUUUAUUCCGCUUUGACAACAACAGCUUCGAGCUGGGUGUGAGGGCCGUCACCGACCCAGAGGACUGGGUGACCUCGAAUCGCCGAAGCCGACGUGGGUCUGAAAUCAUGUCAACACCCACAAGGCCGCGGGCCCCGACGGUAUUCCAGGCCACGUUCUCUGAGCAUGCAAAGAACAGUUGGCAGGCAUAUUCACGGUCAUUUUAAACCUUUCCUUGUCCCAGUCUGUAAUCCCCACAUGUUUUAAGAUGACCACCAUCAUCCCUGAUCCUAAAAACUCUAAGGCUUCAUGCCACAAUGAUUACCGCCGUGUAGCACUCACUUCUGUAAUCAUGAAGUGCUCCGAGAGGCUGGUUAUUGCACACAUUAACUCCACCUUCCCAGCCACCCUAGACCCACUCCAAUUUGCAUACCGCCCCAACAGAUCCAGAGAUGACACAAUCUCAAUUGCUCUCCACACUAUACCUAUGUGAGAAUGCUGUUCAUUGACUACAGCUCAGCGUUCAACACCAUUAUCCCAUCCAAGCUUGUCACCAAGCAUAGGACUAUGGGUCUGAACACCUCCCUCUGCAACUGGGUCCUGGACUUCCUGAUGGGCCGACCCCAGGUGGUGAGGGUAGGCAGCAUCCCCUCCACCACUCUGACCCUUAACACAGGGGCCCCACAGAGGUGUGUGCUUAGUCCCCUCCUGUACUCCUUGCUCCCCCACGACUGUGUGGACAAUCACAACUCCAACACCAUUAUCAAGUUCGCUGACGACGCAAUGGUGGUAGACCUGAUCACUGGCGACGAUGAGUCAGCCUACAGGGAGGGGAUCAGUGACCUGGUAGUGUGGUGCCGGAGCAACAACCUCUCAAUGUCAGUAAGACCAAGGAGCUGAUCGUGGACUACAUUACUGCUUGGUAGGGCAAUAGCACCGCCCUCGAUCGCAUGGCACUACAGAUGGUUGUGUGGACAGCCCAGUACAUCACUUGGGCCAAGCUCUCUGCCAUCCAGGAUCUCUAUAUCAGGUGGUGUGAAAAGAAGGCCUGGAAAAUCGUCAAAGACCCCAACCACCCAAGCCGUAGACUAUUUUCUCUGCUGCUGCACACUAAGAGGUACCGGUGCAUCAAGUCUGACACUAACAAGCGCUUGAACAGCUUCUAUCCCCAAGCAAUACGACUGAUAAAUAGCUAAUAAAAUAGCUACACGGACCAAGUUUACCUUGUAUCUUUACUGACCUUUUAUUUCAAUAUUUGCACUGUCUCUAUGCCCACUCACAGGGCCCUACACACUCACACCCACUGUCACUCCAACACACACACACAAACACUCCAUCAUUUGCUCACUCACACAUAAUAUGCACAUACAUUUAUACUGACUCUAUACACCCGCACACCCACUCACAUGCAAGCUGCUGCUACUCUGUAUAUCUUAUAUCCUGUUGCCCAGUCCUCUUAACCCUAUACAUAUCUACCUCCAUCACUCGAGUAUCCCUGCACAUGUAAAUACGCUAUUGGGACUGACUUUUUAAAUAUUUCCUGUAUAUAGUAUGCUUAAAUAUUUAUUUUAUUGUGUAUUUCAUAUUUCUUAUCCCUCGUGUGUUUUUUUCUAGUAAUAUAUUGUUAUUGAUUAUUGCAUUGUUGGGUUUUGAGCUUGCAAGAAAGGUAUUUCACAGUACUUGUGAUAUUUAAGUUUGAAAUUUGAAAGGCGUCACUUCUUGUCAGAAAGAUUUGCAUACUGUCAAACGAAGCACAACGCUGGAAAUCAAUCCAUCAGUCUAUAUGUAAUAAUAAUUAACCUUUAGGAUAGGGGGGACAUGUAUGACAGCCAGGCACUUACACUGAGUGUACAAAACAUUAGGAACACCUGCUCUUUCCAUGACAGACUGACCAGGUGAAUCAAGGUGAACGCUAUGAUCCCUUAUUGAUGUCACUUGUUAAUUUCACUUCAAUCAGUGUAGAUGAAGGGGAGAACACAGGUUCAAUAAUGCUUUUUAACCCUUGAGACAUUUGAGACAUGGAUUGUGUUUGUGUGCCAUUCAGAGAGUAAAUGGACAAUACAAAAUAUUUAAGUGCCUUUGAACAGGGUAUGAUAGUAGGUGCCAAGUGCACUGGUUUGAGUGUGUCAAGAACAGCAAAGCUGCUGGGUUUUUCAUGCUCAACAGUUUCCAGUGUCUAUCAAGAAUGGUUCACUACCCAAAUUGACGCAACUGUGAGAAGCAUUGGAGUCAACAUGGGUCAGAAUCCCUGUGGAACGCUUUCGACACCUUGUAGAAUCCAUGCCCCGAUGAAUUGAGGCUGUUCUGAGGGCAUA